rnacentral:rRNA from 1 species
AGCAGUGGGGAAUUUUGGACAAUGGGCGAAAGCCUGAUCCAGCAAUGCCGCGUGAGUGAAGAAGGCCUUCGGGUUGUAAAGCUCUUUUGUCAGGGAAGAAACGGUGAGAGCUAAUAUCUCUUGCUAAUGACGGUACCUGAAGAAUAAGCACCGGCUAACUACGUGCCAGCAGCCGCGGUAAUACGUAGGGUGCAAGCGUUAAUCGGAAUUACUGGGCGUAAAGCGUGCGCAGGCGGUUUUGUAAGUCUGAUGUGAAAUCCCCGGGCUCAACCUGGGAAUUGCAUUGGAGACUGCAAGGCUAGAAUCUGGCAGAGGGGGGUAGAAUUCCACGUGUAGCAGUGAAAUGCGUAGAUAUGUGGAGGAACACCGAUGGCGAAAGCAGCCCCCUGGGUCAAGAUUGACGCUCAUG